GUUUUUGUUUCCUUCCGGGUCCCUCUCUCCUCCGUCCGGGUAUUGCUGUUCCUUUCUCUCCUUGGACUCAUUGCUAAGGUAACACAUUUACCAGUCUGUGAAGAGACACUGACUAAUGCCAGAGGGAUUGAGAAAGAGGGAGCGAGAGAAGUGGCAAAAAAAGGAGCAGCUGUACCUUUAAGAUAGAACAGCCAAGAGUGGGGGAAACAAAAAUACACCCAAAGACGGGUCCUGCCAGAAAUUUCAAAGCUUUUCCUAAUAAUAAUAUGCAGCAGAGAGGGAAAGGAUUGUGGAGGCAACAGCUAGUCAGUGAAUAAAAGAUGCAAACAUCAAGUGUCUCAAUGAGGAAACACAAGCACACAAUACUCACAUCAAGGAGUUUAUUAAUAAUUUUCUUCUGGAAUUUUUUGGCAUCCUUGACACCUUCAUCAAGGGGAUGAUUCAUCUGGUCAAAACAUGUGUUAGCCUGUUCUUCCAGAGCCAUAAUUUCCUUCUUGACAGAGUUCUCCAAGUGAUCCUGCUCGAGAAAUUGAUCCUGGAACAGAAGAACCACCUAGGACACGACACUGUGCACCCAACUCUGGGGAUAAAAGAAAUAUCUUCCAGACUUUCUUCCCCCUAGAGACUGCAAGGCAGACUCCUAUUGGUUCAACACCUCCCUAAGAGCAUCUCAAGAUUAUCAGGGGGUGGAAAGAUGGUGUCACCUACCCGGUACUUGGUGUUCUUCAAUACUUAUCCAGGGCUCUAUCAUUGAGGCUUGUUGGGAGGCUGGGAGAAGGGGCAGGAAAUCACUGGGCAAGAAGGUGAGUUAUAGGGUGCAGAGGAAUUCUGCAGAAUCACUCUUUCUUAGUUUUGGCCCUCAAAAUGUUUCACAUACACACAUAGCAAAAUGGUCAUUAGGGAUACAUUUUUCACCCCAUAUCCAAAACACUUAAUGGUGAAGAUAAGUCAGUAGGGAUUUGUUAUUUACUCUCUCACAAAACAAGAAAUAGGGGUCACAACAUGAAACAAGUAGGUAGUCAGUUUAAAACUAACAAAAGGAAGUUCUUUUUCACACAGUGUGUAAUUAAAAUGUUGAACUCGUUGCCUCCAGAUGCUGUUGGAGCUGAGAGUUUAGCUAGUUUCAAAAAGGGAUUGGGCAAAUUCUUGGAGGAAAGGUGCAUCAGUAGCUAUUGAGAACAGGACUUAGGUGUACAGACCCUGAAUCAGAACUUCACGGGGGUGAAUGAGAAAGAGGGCAGGGAUUUCUAGCCUUUAGUCAUUGAGUCCAUUCUGGAGACAGCACUGAGACCCUGUGCAUGAAAAACAGAGCCCUCCUUUUCCUACUGGGUGAAUGGGAAGAGCAAUCCCAUUAGCUGUUGGCAGCCUAGAGUCUAUAAUACUCAACUGAGCCAUUCCCAUUCCAUCCGCUAAAGGCCAGCCACAAAUCUACAUGCUAACCACCAAAUUGUGAUUCUUUUGGAAAAGAUGUAAUUGUUUUUUUCCAGAUAAAAGCAGGGAAGAAAUGGGCAGAAAGAAGCUUCCAAGUAAGCUGCUCCAGUGGGAAAAUAUAUCUCCAAUAUUCUUCUGGUGACAGAUGCCAGAUGCACCUGUGGGUGGAGUAUUUUUGCCAGCAGUAUCUGCCUGGUCCAUGCAUGGAUUUAGGUGUCCUAAAUCGGACAGCAGGAUUGAAGUCUUGGGCUUCAAAAAUACAAAUUUCAACAAGCUCAGGGCAAGUGCUGCGGGACCAGGGACUGAAGGUGAAAGAUAUGCAUGAAGAGUGGUUGCUCCUUAAGAACAUAAUCCUUGAAGCACAAAGGAAGUCCAUUCCCAUGCAGAGAAAAGGUAACAGAAGGGCUGGGAAGCAUGCUUGGUUAAACAGGGAAAUCAUGGUCCUCUUAAGAAAGAAGAAAGAGGCUUAUAAACAAUGGACGUGCAGGGCAGGCCCUAAGGAGGACUAUUCCACAAUGGUCUGCAUUUGCAGGGAACAGAUAAGACAGGCUAAAGCAGUGACCGAACUUACAUUAGCAGUGGGAAUCAAGGACAACAAGAAGUCCCUCUUUAGAUACAUAGGGAACAGGAGAAAAACAAAUGGGAGUGUGGGGCCAUUGCUCAACAACUCAGGAAAACUCAUCACUCUGUGUCUCUCUGCGAUAAGCCUGCAGAAGUACCUGAAGACUGGAAGAAGUCCAAUGUGGUGCCCAUCUUCAAGAAAGGGAGGAAAGUAGAUCUGGGGAACUAUAGCCCAAUCAGCUUGACUUCAAUCCCUGAAAAGAUUCUAGAAAAAAUUAUAAAAGAAACCAUUCUUGACAAGCUGGUUGAUGGCAAUAUCCUGAGGGACAGCCAGCAUGGGUUUGUUGCGGGUAGGUCUUGCUUGACCAAUUUCAUUUCCUUCUACGACCAGAUGACGUAUCACCUGUGUUACCUCUCAGCUCCAUGUUCUUGGGGAACCAUGGCACAGGAUGCAGCCUGUCUGACUCACAAAGAAUUCCCCCCCCCCCACACACCUGAACAAAACUGAUUCAGAUGCAGUGAGAGACACACCUAAAACCCUCCAGAUAAGGGUGACAAGAGUGAAACAACUGCCCUAGGUCUCAUUUGCAUCCGAGACGGAACCAGAUGACCAUUCAUUUACAUGGGUGAUGGAGAACAGAAAGUUUGAAGCAGAGACUGCAGUGAAUUCUGGGAUCAGAGAAGCAGGGGAGCACUGCAUGAUGGGGAAUCUGUGUUCCAAAUGCUAACCAACCUACAUUUACACACACCAAACUCAGCAUUUAUCAGACCAAUUCUAAUCUGGAUUUACAAAGGACUCCCCUCCCCCCCUCCCCCAGACACACACACAGCUCUAAGUUUAAUAGGCAUCUUGGGCUGUACAUUCCCCGGUCCCACUAUGGGAGGCCUAUUUAAACUUGAUUGACUAAAACUCGGUUGCUGGGUUAGGGACUGCUGAGGCAAGAGACCGAGUCAGAGGGGGUAGGGGCAACAUUUGAAAAAUGGUAAAGGGUUCAUCACAGUGUCCAGCCCAUUGGAGCCCUGACCACAAGUGUUGUCAUACUUUUCCUGGGAUGACUGGUGGAAGUCCUCCCUCCCAAAGGUUAUGAACACUUCAAUAAUUGUCUUAAGUCUGUUAAAAGACUAUAGUAAGAUCUGGAAAAGUCAUGCUAAGCUGAGGCUUGUGCACAACAUGUAAAAAUCCAAAAUCCUGAUGCUGCAAGCUAUCUAUUGUUUCUGAAGAAACCAUGAGAUAUCCCAUCAGUAUAUCUGCUAUCCAUAGGAAUUUCAAGCUGGUUCCCAAAUAUCUGGUUACUCCUUAAUCUUAUGUGUUUCCUGAUUAUCAAUCAGUUUCUUGAGAUGUUCCAGGCCAGAUAACCCCUUGUCAAUAGAAAAGACAAUGAUUUACACUAUUGAGAAUGCUUUGAAGAAGCUGAACUGAGGGUAUAAAAAUCUGUAAAAAAGCAGCAGUGUGUGCGCUGAUACCAUCCACUGUUCUUCUUGAGAGGCUGGAAGAAACAUAUCAUCUCCCUUCAAGGAUUGUGCUAGGAACUUUACCUGUCAGCAUUGCAACCCGGGUGCCUUGGACUGGCGAGAUCCUAGCGCGCUCUCUCUCUCUCUCUUUUCUCUCUAGGCAUAAAUUUCUGAACCUGAACUGUAUUAGUUAAGCUUGAGCUAAGUUUCCCCAAAUACUUAGUGAAACCAGGGUAGUAUUGUAAUUGUUUGUGUUUGUUUUUCCUUUACAUGUCUAUUAGUACUAGUACCAUAAUAUAUUUCAUAUGCAUAGCAAUAAAUAACUUUUAUAGUCAAA